GUCUAUGGCCAUACCAUCCUGAACGUGCCUGAUCUCAUCUGAUCUCAGAAUCUAAGCAGGGUCAGUCCUGGUUAGUACUUGAAUGGCAAACUAAUCUCAGAGCAGCCCAUCACUUAUACA
rnacentral:rRNA from 1 species